GGGUUGUGAGGUUAAGCGACUAAGCGUACACGGUGGAUGCCCUGGCAGUCAGAGGCGAUGAAGGACGUGCUAAUCUGCGAAAAGCGCCGGCGAGGUGAUAUGAACCCUUGACCCGGCGAUGUCCGAAUGGGGAAACCCAGUGCAAUCCGUUGCACUAUCGUUAACUGAAUACAUAGGUUAACGAGGCGAACCGGGGGAACUGAAACAUCUAAGUACCCCGAGGAAAAGAAAUCAACCGAGAUUCCCCCAGUAGCGGCGAGCGAACGGGGAGCAGCCCAGAGUCUGAAUCAGCUUGUGUGUUAGUGGAAGCGUCUGGAAAGUCGCACGGUACAGGGUGAAAGUCCCGUACACGAAAGCACACAGGCUGUGAACUCGAAGAGUAGGGCGGGACACGUGGUAUCCUGUCUGAAUAUGGGGGGACCAUCCUCCAAGGCUAAAUACUCCUGACUGACCGAUAGUGAACCAGUACCGUGAGGGAAAGGCGAAAAGAACCCCGGCGAGGGGAGUGAAAAAGAACCUGAAACCGUGUACGUACAAGCAGUGGGAGCACCUUCGUGGUGUGACUGCGUACCUUUUGUAUAAUGGGUCAGCGACUUAUAUUCUGUAGCAAGGUUAACCGUAUAGGGGAGCCGAAGGGAAACCGAGUCUUAACUGGGCGUUAAGUUGCAGGGUAUAGACCCGAAACCCGGUGAUCUAGCCAUGGGCAGGUUGAAGGUUGGGUAACACUAACUGGAGGACCGAACCGACUAAUGUUGAAAAAUUAGCGGAUGACCUGUGGCUGGGGGUGAAA
rnacentral:rRNA from 1 species